UUUUCAGGUCAGCUAGUCCAAUCCGUUUGAAGAAAGAGAGGAAUGCGUAUAUAAAGGAACAAAGAAGUAAAGAAAGGGAAGAAAAAAAAAUCCAGUCGAUCUUACCACUUAAAAAAAAAUCUUAACACACACACACCAAGAAAUAUAAUAAAAUAAAAGCAGUAAGAUAGUUAUAAAUAACAGAGCAUACAUAUAUAUAUACGUCUAUAUAUAUGAGUGUGUGUGGGCUGACGACAAAAGAAGAGGAACAGAAAGAACAUUUGCCACAAACUUAUAUCAAUUUCGUAGACAUCCACUGUCAUGGUGCAGACUGCCUCACUUUAAACCUCACUUCACUCCUCACUGAUACUCCUUAACUAACGGGAAAUUUAAAUAAUUAAGCGGCAUACUAAUAAAGUUUCCAUUAUUGUACUACAUUGUAGCAGUACCUAUCAUCAGUUUUGGGUAUUUCAGUUGAGUUUGGUACUCGCGUGUUAUUAUUGUAGUUGCAGCUGCGUGUGUUGUAUGCGAACGCGUGAUCUCCACCUCUGCGUGUGUACAAGUGUGUAAACAGACGUGUGUGUGUUCUGUUGUGUUGUGUGUAUAUUAUAUUUAAGUGAGGAUUCAAUAUAUAUAUAUAUAUAUAUAUAUAUGUUUGUAGAUGCAUAUAUAUAUUAAGUUAGUGAGGUUUGAAUAACAGUUAUUUUCAAGUGAGGCUAUUAUUUGUAAACUUUUUUUAUAUCCAAACUUUUUUUAAUUUAACAAAAAAAAAUACAAAAAAUAUUCUGAGCAUUUUUUAUACCACUGAUUUUAUUAAUACCAUUUGUUAUUUUAAAAAUAUAAAAAAAUUUAAAAAAUUGAAAAAAUUUUAAAUUAACAAAAAAAAUAUUAAAAAAAAUAGCGAACAAAUUUUAACAAAGUUGAACAUAAAAAGGAAGAAAGGAUUGUGAACAGAAAAAGAAAGGAAAAACAAGAAGUUUUGUAAAUAAUAAUUUGCCUUCAUUUCUUUCGCUUUUGAAUGUGAAAUUUUCUGAAACCAACUUACGUUUCUAUAUGUGACUGAGCGAACGUUGUAGCGAAAAGGAAGUUCCGCAACACAAAACCAGCGUCGAUUAAGUAUUUCCAAAGCCUACCGACGACAAUCAAACCCAACAUCACAGUCGCCGCAGCCGCCGCCAUCUUUACCACUACCACCACCACCACUACCGUCGUAGUAGCACCAGCAGCCACUGCCGCCUCCGUCAACGUCUCAACUACCAAUUCCACCAGCACUACCACCUCCACUACCACAGCCAAUACGCCGUUGUCGUCUCUGUCACUACAGCUCGAAAAACGCGAAAUUCUUCUUCACCUCACUCUUUCAAUUCCACCGAGACGAGGGGAAAAACUCCACCACCGACACCACACCACUACCACCACUACCAACAACUACAACAACAACACUACCACCACCAACACCACUACCACCAACGCCAUCGUCGCCAAACUACACCAACGAACAAACAGCCAGCCAUCCAUCCAUCCAAGCAUCCAUUCAGGCAGCCAACCAACAAAACUACCAACCAACCAACCAACUGCCCGCCCGACUUUCCCUACCACCCGCCCAUCACACUUUCAGAGCCGCCUGUUGACAUAAACGCCCAACCUCGCCUCCUCCCCACGCACCGACUCAAACUCCACCGCUUCACCCCGCUCGCCUGGCCGCCACUUAACGAAAACAGAAUAUUUUUCAGUUUAACUUCCAAGUUUCUGCUAGUCCCCUCCUAGCAAAGCGUACGGUGGAGGAAAAACUUUAAUAAUAAGCAGCAGGAGAAUCGAAACGCAUUAAUCGGAAUAUAUAUACACAUACACAAUCAUAUACUAAUAAUAUAUACAUACAACCACAAUAACACACACAUACUUACUUACUGAAGGAGAGAGAGAGAAAAAGAGGAACGAGUAAACAACUAAUAGGAAAAGAUAGAGCUUUAAGUGAAAUUUGUAACAUAUAUAUAUACAUACAUAUAUAUAUAUACAUAUAUGUCUUACAUAGAAACGCACCCACCCAUACAAAAUUAUUUGUAGUUUUUUGCUGUCGUCAUCUUAGAAGUUGUUGUUAUUAUUAACAACAACAAUAUUAAUAAUAUAUUGUUAUUACAUAUAAUAAUAAUACAAUAGCGACGGUGGUGGUGGUGGUAGUGGUGAUGAUGUUGGAGACAUUUUAUCGUCAUUAACGGGAAUAUUUAAUAUUUAAUUUCAUUUGUUAUUACUAUUGAUAUUAUUGUUAUUAUUAUUGUUAAUAUUAUUAGUAUUAUUAUUAGUAUUAUAUUAUCGGUUUCUUGUGACACAAUUUGUAAAAAACAAAACAAAUAUUAAAAAAAGAUAAUAAUAAUAAUAACGAAACAAGGCAAGCCAAGACAAAAAAAUUCUGUUCUGAUCGUUUCACGGUAUGGUUGGGUAGAAGGUACGUGUAUCUAGGAAGAAAGGUAAAUAACAAAAACACGAAGUACCUCUCUCGCUAUCACUCCUAGCCCUGCAUCCAAUACCACACACAUAUUCCACUAGACGUAUUAAGUCUCUCUCUCUCCGUCUCUUUCUCCCUCUAUCUGUCUGUCUAUCAAUCUGUCUAUCUGUGUAUGUAUCACAGACUUGCAACGCUCAUAUAUACAUAACGCUAACGGGCCUCUCCUUCUUAAAUCUUUCUCUCUCUCUUUCUCUCCCCUCCCCAACUCUGUCUCUCUAUGUGUCUGUCAGUGUCUCUCUGACAAACACAAAACAUUAUGUAUAUAUAUACAUAUAUAUAAACAUUAUAUAUAUGUAUAUAUAUAUAUAUAAUUAUUAACAGUCGGAGACAAAACAAUGCAUUUUAAGGAGUACCUAAUUAUCAACAAGGAGUUAAUUAUUAACCAGUAACACCAACAGCAUCGGCACCAUAGUUCUAUAACUUGGCCCGCCGUUUCUCUUUGAUAUAUUCAUCACAUACACCUAUAACUAUAUAUAUCUAUCUAUAUACAUAUAUAUAGUUUAUUAUACAGGAACGCAUACGUACAUGCAUCAAGGAAGUAAGACAACUAUAUACAUAAACAAAGUUCGUUUGAAUUCACGUAUGUAUACACGCAUUCGGAUUAAUUUUUAAGCAUUCAUUUACGCAUACAAAUUUCUUCUCAAGCAAGAAAAGAAGGAUUACACAAAUAUAAACAAACAACACACAAAUAAACAAACACAUCAAUAAACAAUAAUAUUAAAAACAUAAUAACAAUAAUUAUAUUUACUACCGUUAUUGUUAUUAAUACUACAAUUACCAAUUACACUUAUACAUUUUUCCCCUUCAAUUUUAAUUUCGAAUGCCCAGAGAAUCUCUUAGAUUUUUUUUUAAAAUUUCAAUAUUGAAAGAGUGAACGAAGACGCCACCAACAGAAUUACGUGAGAGCAAAAAGACAUCAUAUUUUACCAGUUGUCCCUUCUAUUUCUUCCCCCUCUCACCGUUUAUAUAUACCCACAUAUAUAUACAUAUAUAUAUAUAUAUAUAUAUAUAUAUAUGUAAAAUUAAAACAAAAGGCUGCAGGAACACCAAAGGUGAAGAAAAGGAUUUUACGUACAACAUAGAAGAAGAAAAAAGAACCCUUAACCGAAGGCUAUUUGUUAUAUUACAUCUCAUGUUUUUACCAAAAUUUUUGUUACAGUCGGAGGAUUAAAACGAUAACAAAAAAAAAAAAGUCUAUCAUGUUCGCCGUUUGAGGAAUUCUAUCGUAAUAUUAUUUGCAUUCCUUAACUUUCCAUAAUGUUAUAUUUCUGGUCACAGAUUUAUUUCUAGCACCGAUUGCAAAGAAUAUCUUCCUUUAAAUCAUAUAGGAACUUUGUCAUAAACAAAUUCUUCCAAAUAUAUAUAUAUAUAUAUAAAACGUAAAAAUAUUAUAUAUAUAUACGUGUAUUUAUAUAUAUAAAUCUGUAUAACUAUAUAUAUAUAUUUCCCCCCCACAGGUACAUAUUGUGUUUUUUAAAUGCCGCUUUUAUAUAUAAAUUAAAAAAAAAAAAGGAAAAAUAUGUGAAACCACUUGAUGGGGGAAUACGGAAGAUUUUGAGUGCUUAAUUAAACGGAAAAAAAAAGAUAAUUAUCUAAAUUUAAUUGAAAAGAAAAAAAAUAUUUUUCUCUUUUUUU